ACGAUAAGCAAAAACAUAAAUAUGCAUCUUAUAAAAGGCGAAAUAGAAUUAAAGCUCAAUUAAGCAGUUCAAUGAACAUUCAAACCGAGGAAACAAAUUUUAUUGAACCUGCGAGCUCCAAUUCAGAGUUGCGAAGCUCUCUGACUAAACCAGAAAUAGAGAACGUUUUAGAAGGAAAACGAAUAUUUGACGUUGACUUGUUUUCCUAGAUAUUUGGAAAUAAACCUUUUUAUUGCAUAUAUGGAGUUUGUAAAAGAACGACGAAAUGGA